UUCACAGUAGGGUUCACGCUGCUAUGAGAAUCAAAUGUCCCGCUGAUCCGACAGGAGGUGAAGCUCAGGCGGUAAUGGCUGGCCUGUUGCUCACCUCCUGCUGUGCGGCCAGGCUCGCCACAGACCUAUAGGAUCUGCCGCCCGGGGCUGGGGACGCCUGCUCUAGAGCACUAGCCUGCAAACUUUUUAUUUAAUGGCUGCAGCUCCAGCAUCCAUCUUGGAUUAUGAGGUAAUCUUGAGAAUGGAAGCCAAGCCCUUGGAGGUUUGUGAAAAUUAUUCUUCAAAAUACUCUUCCAUACUUCUAGCACUCAGAGCAAUGACUGAGGGAGUAUGGAGGAGUAAAAGAAAAAGAAGCUGUGGAAAUAUAGGCUUUAAGCACUAUUUUAAGAUUGAAAAUUUGAACUCCAGCGUCUUUCUGUUUAUCUCAGAAUAUCUAGUGAUUUUAUGGUCUGUGUUUUUCUCUUUUUUUAGUACAUUAGUAGGAAUUACCAAAAAUAACCCUAUGUAAUUUCUACUGUCUAACAUUAAUUGUGUGAGAAAUGUAUGAUGCGGCAAGAGGCAGUCCAUAGCAUCUCAAUGGUAGAAAUGGUAGAGGUCAUCCAUUCUAAAUUCUUUAAUUUGUGGAAUAUAAAACUGAUUGGUAGAGAUUACUAGCAUGGAAAAACUAGUACUCAAUUGUUGAGCUAAACCUAGCCUCUAAUGCUCCCAAUUGUUUCUUAUCUAAUGUUCUCACUGGAACUUUUUUUUUCAAAUAUUUCUACUUACAUUCAGACUUUGCCCUUACCUAGCUGGUUAGUUUCAUUUUACCUUAAAUGACUAUUUUUUUCUUUGCUAGUAAGAUUAAAGUCUAAAUUUUCUUAUUUCAGAAUGUUAUUUACAAAUAUUUUUUAUAAAAUAUUUAUGUAAAAUGCAUUUAAAUAUUAUUUAUUAUGCCUAUCAGUUUCUCAAAAUUGAUUUAGAAAAAUACUAAAUAUUGUUUUGACAAAAAGAAAAAAAUGAAUGAAAGGGCCCACCGUUGUGUCUUAAAACUUGGAUAAAUAAAUCUAAAAUACAUGAUGCAUGGUAAUGUGCCUAUUUCCAUGAGUAUAUAUGAGAUUGUUUUCCCAUAAUUUUUCCUUUUUUUGUAACAUGCUCUUUCCAUAUGUCUAACCCUGACAUCCUCAAAGCUAUCCCUGGAACCUCUAUAUAUCUCAUGACCCAUAUCUCUGGUUCCCUGGCCAUAGUCAAUAGCACCACAGGUGGCUAUGUGAACUAAAAUAGGCCAAAGAAAUCCUCCCUUGGAACUUAUAUAAUUAAGUAUCACAAAAAAAGCAUUAAUACUAACUCUCACCAGUUAGCAAAGCCAUAGGAUUUCAUAAAUUCAGGGGCCAUGUUUUGUGUCUUGAAAAGUGGAGAAAGUCGGGAAUGUAAAAUGAUGUCUGAAACCAGAAAACAAAAAUUAAAACAAAUGCUCUCUACAUAAAAUUAAAUUAAAUUAAAAAGGAAGAGAGAGGAUGAAAGAGCCCUGGAAACAUUACCUGGUUGCUUAGGUCUAGUUGUCCCUAACUGCCAGUCACAUCCCCAUUCUUCACAAAGCUUUGCUAUUUAAACUUACUGGUCUCUUCAUGUCUUUUGCCCACUUUUUGUUGAGUUUUUUUUUUCUUGCUAAUUUGUUUGAGUUUGUUGUAGAUUCUGGAUAUUAGUCUUUUGUCAGAUGUAUAGAUUGUGAAAAUUUUCUCCCACUAUGUGGGUUGUUUGUUUACUCUGUUGACUGUUCCUUUUUGGCCAUGCAAAAGCUCUUUAGUUUAAUUAAAUAUAAAAAUGGACAACAAACAUAUGAAAAAAAUGAUCAACACCACUAAUGAUCAGAGAAAUGCAAAUCAAAACCACAAUGUGAUACCACCUUACUUCCACAAGAAUGGCCAUAAUCAAAACAAAUGAAAAGAUAAUAGAUGUUGGUGUGGAUGAGGUGAAAAGGGAACACUUCAACACUGCUGGUGGGAAUGUAAACUAGUACAAUCACUAUGGAAAACAGUGUGCAGAUUCCUUAAAGAACUAAAAGUAGAGGUGUCAUUUGAUCCAGCAAUCUCACUACUGGGUAUCUAUCCAGAGGAAAAGAAGUCAUUUUCCUAAAAAGAUACUUGCAUACGCAUGUUUCUAGCAACACAAUUUGCAAUUUCAAAAACGUGGAACCAACCCAAAUGCCCAUCAAUCAAUGAAUGGAUAAAGAAAAUGUGGUAUAUUUAUAUGAUGGAAUACUAGUCAGCCAUAAAAAUAAAUGAAUUAAUGGCAUUUGCAGCAACCUGGGUGGGCCUGAAGACUAUUAUCCUAAGUGAAGUAACUCAGGAAUGGAAAAUCAAACAUCGUAUUUUCUCACUCGUAAGUGGAAGCUAAGCCACAAGGAGGUAAAGGCAUAAGAAUGACACGAUGGACACAGUGGAGACUCAGGGGGAAGGGUAGGAAGGGGGUGAGGGACAAAAGACUACAAAUAUGGUGCAGUAUGCUGCUUAGGUGAUGGGUGCACCAAAAUUUCACAAAUCACCGCUAAAUAACUUAUUCAUGUAACCAAAUAACACCUGUUCUCUAGAAACCUAUGGAAAUAAAAAAUUAUUUGAAAAAAACUUACUGGUAUUUCAGGAGCCACUGUCUUUCCUGUUUUCAAUUAAGUCUCUGUCAUUUGCAUCUGAGAAAAAGUAUCUGAGUGAUGUAGAAUUUGGGGAGGCAGUGAAUAUUCCACCAGCUGGAUGAAAAGUCAGCAGUCUUUAUUAGAAGGAGCAAAGUAGUUCAUUAAAUAAGACAUUGGGCAUAUGUCUUGAGCUCUAAGAGAUAGCUAGAUAUAAGAAACUUGAGAAAAUGUAAAUAUAUUACAGCCCUCAGCAAAGGGUUUUAAGACUGAGAUAAUUUAUCACAGUCUCUGAAAAGUUAUACAGAACAACACAAGUAUAUAGAUCUUUUUCUCAAAUCAGCAUUAUUGAGGUAUAAUUUACAAGUUAUAAAACUGCCUAUUUUAAGUGUGCAUUUCAAUGAGUUUUGACUGAUAUAUACAUCUCUACUAUGCUCAAAAUGUAGAAUAUUUACAUUGUUCCCCCAAAUAUUCUCCUAUAUUUUUGUAGCUAAAUUCCCCUACUUUUAAUUCUCAGGCAAAAACUAAUCUGCUUUUUGUCAUUAUAGAUUAAUUUUUGCCUGAUCUAGAAUUUUUUAUAAAUAGAAUCAUGCAGUAAACAUUUUUGUAUCCAGGUUCCUUUUUACGCUGUAAUGUUUUUGAGAUUCAUCUAUGUGGUUGCUUCUAGUAUUAAUUCAUAUGUUU
rnacentral:lncRNA from 1 species